UACGAAGGGGGCGAGCGUUGUUCGGAUUUACUGGGCGUAAAGGGCGCGCAGGCGGCUUAUUUUGUCAGGCGUGAAAGCCCCGGGCUUAACCUGGGAACUGCGUUUGAUACGGAUGGGCUAGAGUUCGGGAGAGGAGAGUGGAAUUCCCAGUGUAGAGGUGAAAUUCGUAGAUAUUGGGAAGAACACCGGUGGCGAAGGCGGCCUGCUGGGCAGUAGCUGACGCUGAGGCUCGACAGCGUGGGGAGCAAACAGG
rnacentral:rRNA from 1 species